rnacentral:rRNA from 1 species
UACGAAGGGUGCAAGCGUUACUCGGAAUUACUGGGCGUAAAGCGUGCGUAGGUGGUGCGUUAAGUCUGUCGUGAAAGCCCCGGGCUCAACCUGGAAUGGCGAUGGAUACUGGCGCGCUAGAGUGCGGUAGAGGAGAGUGGAAUUCCCGGUGUAGCAGUGAAAUGCGUAGAGAUCGGGAGGAACAUCAGUUGCGAAGGCGGCUCUCUGGACCAGCACUGACACUGAGGCACGAAAGCUCGGGGAGCGAACGGG